rnacentral:rRNA from 1 species
CUAGAUGGAUACAAUGUGUGCAUCUUUGCAUACGGACAAAUAGGAACUGGGAAGACCUUCACCAUGGAAGGGACUGAAAGGAACAGAGGAGUAAACUAUAGAACUCUGGAGGAGUUGUUCAAGAUUGCCGAGGAGAGAAAAGACACUGUCACGUACAACAUAUCUGUUAGUGUGCUUGAGGUGUACAAUGAACAAAUCAGAGACCUCCUUGCAACAUCCCCUUCAUCUAAGAAGUUGGAGAUCAAACAAGCAGGUGAAGGAUCCCAUCAUGUGCCCGGCAUAGUUGAGGCCAAAGUUGAGGACAUAAAUGAAGUUUGGGAUGUCUUACAAACUAGAAGCAAUUCGAGGGCUACAGGGUCAAACAAUGUGAAUGAACACAGCAGUCGCUCACACUGCAUGCUUUGUAUCAUGGUUAGAGCAAAGAACCUGAUAAAUGGGGGCUGUACAACAAGUAAGCUCUGGUUAGUAGAUCUUGCUGGAAGCGAGCGGUUAGCCAAGACAGACGCGCAAGGUGGUCGGCUCAAGGAAGCACAAAAUAUCAACAGGUCGCUUUCUGCUUUAGGCGAUGUCAUUUAUGCUCUUGCUUCCAGAAGCAGCCGCAUUCCUUACAGGAAUUCCAAAUUGACGCACUUGCUCCAAGACUCUUUAGGAGGCGAUUCGAAAGUUGUAAUGUUUGUGCAAAUUAGCCCAUCCGACAACGACGCGUCGGAAACCUUGAGUUCGUUGAACUUUGCUAGCCAUGUCCGUGGUAUAGAACUGGGCCCAGCAAAGAAGCAGGUCGACACAGCCGAGCUUCAAAAGGUCAAACAGAUGCUUGAAAGGUCUAAGCAGGAAGCCAAGCUAAAGGAGGAAUCUUUGAGAAAGCUGGAAGAGAAGUGUCAAAAUUUAGAGAAUAAAGCCAAGGGAAAAGAGCAGCUUUACAAAAACUUGCAAGACAAGGUGAAGGAGCUUGAAAGCCAAUUAGACUCUAAGAUGCAUUCUCAGAUUACGUCAGAAAAGCACCAGAAUCAGCUUUCUGGAAAACUG